GCUGUUGUUUGUGUCCUGCAGCCGGGAAUGCUCCACGCCGAGGGGUGCGGGCUGUGAGAGGAACAUGUCUGUGGAAGCAUGGCCGUUCCUCCCGUCUGAUGGGGCAGAAGGCAGGGACAGGAGAGGAAAGCUGAACAGAUCUGCAUUUUCGUCACGGCUCUUACUGUGUGGGAAAUGAGCUGUGCCACUGUGCUUCUUUGUGCUGGCUAGUUCUGGAGCUGUGCCUUCAGCUUGAUGCUCAGCUGUUCCUGUGUGCAAUGCUCCACACUCGGACCCUGCAGAGCCCAGAGGCCUCCUUGGCUGCUGUCACUCACCUGGAGCUUGCAGGGUGCUGUGCGUGCUGUAUGGAGCUGCUUCCAGCUGUCAUUUGCAAGACCCUGCUUUGAUCUCCAACCAAGCCUGUUGUGCUGUGGAGAGCAGUGGAAGCUGUUGAGUUGCAUGACCAAGGGGUGCAGCCUGGUUCCCCCCUCCCUAAGGGGGAGGCUCAUUGAAGGGCUGGCUGCCUGCAGGGAAGGAGCUCUGCUUUUUUGUGUGCCCUGUUCCUCAGAAUGGGUUGCCACGCCUCUGGCCUUGGCCCCCACAGAAGCCCCUCCUGGUUGUCAGUGGCAGCUGUUACCUGUGCAGUGCCAGCAGUCUGUAGAAAUGGCAGCACUUGGGAGGAUGACACAGUU